rnacentral:rRNA from 14 species
CGGGAGACAGACAUCGGGUGCUAACGUCCGGUGUCGAGAGGGAAACAACCCAGACCGCCGAUUAAGGUCCCCAAGAUCUAGCUAAGUGGGAAACGAGGUGGGAAGGCUCAGACAGCCAGGAUGUUGGCUUAGAAGCAGCCAUCAUUUAAAGAAAGCGUAAUAGCUCACUGGUCGAGUCGUCCUGCGCGGAAGAUGUAACGGGG